UACAUAGGGGGCAAGCGUUAUCCGGAAUUAUUGGGCGUAAAGGGUGCGUAGGUGGCCGUUUAAGUCUUUGGUGUAAGUGCAAGGCUCAACCUUGUGAUGCUAAAGAAACUGGAUGGCUUGAGUGUGGUAGAGGCAAGUGGAAUUCCAUGUGUAGCGGUAAAAUGCGUAAAUAUAUGGAGGAACACCGGUGGCGAAGGCGGCUUGCUGGGCCACAACUGACACUGAGGCACGAAAGCGUGGGGAGCAAACAGGAUUAGAUACCCUGUUAGUCCACGCCGUAAACGAUGAGUACUAAGUGUAGGGGAAACUCUGUGCUGUAGUUAACGCAAUAAGUACUCCGCCUGAGUAGUACGUACGCAAGUAUGAA
rnacentral:rRNA from 1 species